UGUUAAGAUUGUGUUUUCUCUCGUCCCUUGGCCAGGAUGCUGCACAUGUGACGGCCAGUGGUGAUGGACGAGACCCUCAGAGUUCCGUGACAGUUUUCCAGUUAGACUGUUACACAGAUGAGGGAGACAUCGCAACGUUGCAGGAACCUCCUGAGAUCGUCAUUGACUCAAAUGACAGUCUUGAGGACGAGGUCGAUGAGGAUGAAUAAAAUCAUUGUUGAAUAUCUGAAAGGACACUAUAGCAUCCCAGGCAUUAUCGAAGUUUUUAUCCUAUACCCACAUACAUAAAAAUAUUGGUGGAUUGAAUUAGAACUAUAUGAGGUGGAAUAUGUGAAAACCAAUCUGUACAAUUAAGCUACAACUA